AACCAAUAGCUGGUAAAUAACCAAUGAAUUUAGCAUUCCAAGCCCUUGGAGCUUGCUUAAGACCAUAAAGAGAUUUCUUUAAUUGACACAAAAACUCUGGAUGUGCAGAAUCUUCAAAACCAGGGGUUGCCUCAUGAAAACGUCUUCUUCAAUAUCUCCGUGUAAAAAUGCAUUUUUAACAUCUAACUGUCUUAAAGACCAUUUGUUCAUAGCUGCAAUACUCAGAAUUAAUCAAACUGUAGUAUGCCUAACUACAGGACUUAAAGUCUCACUAAAAUCCAAUCCAGGCUCCUGACUAAAUCCUUGAGCUACCAGACGUGCCUCAUGCCUAGAAACAAUUCCAUCUAAGUUCCUUUUAAUCCAGUAAACCUGCCAACAACAUUUUUAUGGCAUGGUUUUGGAACUAAAAUCCAAGUACCCUGCAUAUGUAAUGCAUCAAGUUUUCCUGCAUAGCUUUAAUCCACACUGGAGAUUAAGAAGCUAACUUAUAAGUUGCAGGCUCAGUUUCAUCAGGCAGUGAAGGAAUAGAGGUAUAAUAGCAUUGAUAAUCAGAAAAAUGCUUUCUACAAACAA
rnacentral:lncRNA from 1 species